UUUUGGACUGAAAGUUUUGUUCAGUGGUCUCCAUGGGAACCUACUUAGCCACCGUCCACCAGCAGGGUGCUGCUGUGUGGGGUGGUGCCACCACUUUUAACCGCCUAAGGGGCUAUGCUCAUCCACAGGUUAAACUCAUCGAGUUCUCUCCAGGUGAGAAAUAUUUGGUCACAUAUAGUAGCAGCAGCCAUGACGAUAUGCAUAGGGUAAACAUAUUCGAUGUGAGAACUGAAAAAGUAUGAGAGAUUUUGAGGGAAGUGGCAAUGAUUUUGCAGAUGGAGGGGUUUCUGGCCGGUUUUCAG